rnacentral:rRNA from 1 species
AACCUGCCCUUGACUCUGGGAUAAGCACUGGAAACGGUGUCUAAUACCGGAUACGAGCUUCAGCCGCAUGGCUAGGAGUUGGAAAGAAUUUCGGUCAAGGAUGGACUCGCGGCCUAUCAGCUAGUUGGUGAGGUAAUGGCCCACCAAGGCGACGACGGGUAGCCGGCCUGAGAGGGUGACCGGCCACACUGGGACUGAGACACGGCCCAGACUCCUACGGGAGGCAGCAGUGGGGAAUAUUGCACAAUGGGCGCAAGCCUGAUGCAGCAACGCCGCGUGAGG